rnacentral:rRNA from 1 species
UGGGGGGCCUAAAUAUACUAAAGGCACCAGAUCCUGUCUGAUCUUGGAAGCUAAAUAGGGUAGUUACUGGUUAGUAUUUGGGUGGGCAACUCUCAACGAAUACCAGGUGAGGUGCUGUAG